CCCUUAGAUGUUCUGGGCCGCACGCGCGCUACACUGUUCGACGCAGCGAGUCUUAACCUUGACCGAAAGGUUUGGGUAAUCUUCAGCAAAGUCGAACGUGAUGGGGAUCGAUCAUUGCAAUUAUUGAUCGUGAACGAGGAAUUCCUAGUAAGUGCAAGUCAUCAGCUUGCGCUGAUUACGUCCCUGCCCUUUGUACACACCGCCCGUCGCUACUACCGAUUGAAUGGUUUAGUGAGAUCUCUGGAUUGACGCUGGCUAGGGGGCGACCCUUGGCCAGGCUGUCGAGAAACUUCUCAAACUUGAUCAUUUAGAGGAAGUAAAAGUCGUAACA
rnacentral:rRNA from 1 species